CAGACAUUCCUCACAAUGACCGCAGCCUCAGAACCAUCACUUCCUCACCACCGCCCCACAACUGCCACCUCUCCACAUGUGCCACCGUGUGAUUGACAUCCUCUGCUCCAUCCCCACCACCAUCUCUCACUUGCCACCAUCCCUGUCACUCCGUCUUCAUGCCCAUGAACGGUUCACAGUAUGACAGUGCUGACCAGAGUGCUUCUGAAAGCAGCUAAAUUGGACGAGGAAGGCCGGUGAGCACCUUCACCAUGCUUGGCUACAACAUAUGAGAACCGUUAUCUUUAUUCACUUCA